rnacentral:lncRNA from 1 species
UCCCCUUUGUACAUGCACAUUAUACAUUCAAUGUGAUGAAUUAAGGUAAUAUUUCCUCCCUUUGGACGUUCAUGAAUCCACCCAUACAUGUAUAGGAGCUGAUUGGUCAAAUUGAGGUGUGAAUGGCUUAGAUGCUGCCUUGGGAAUACGAUCGGCCAAGCUUGUGCUUUAAAUUGCUGGACACCUUUUGGCCAAAUAGGUGCCUUGGGGAGCCAAAUGGAUAAGCCACCAUUCAUUGAAAGAGGCCUUACAUGCACCGUCCCAUACAUUGAACCUAUCAUGCAUGAACCUUGUUUAAUUACUCUCCAAAUUCAGCUCACCUACAAAAACACAUGAACCAAAAUUAAAUCACAUAAAAUUCAGCUGAACAAACAUUAAUAUAAUUUAGACACACUAAUUAAACAUAAAUUAAAUUAGACAAAUUUAAUAAAGUCUUAACAAGACAUAUUAAAUUUGGCCAAGACACAUUUAAAACAUGUAAUAAGUCAAAACAUAAUUAUGAGCUGUAGUAAUUUAAACUAAAUUAAUAAAUUACUUAAUUUAUUCAGACAUUAAAAUAAAUGAGUUGAAAUAAACUUAAGCCAAGCUCAAACGAGCUAAAGUAAGCUAAAUUGAGCUCAAACGAGCUAAAUUAAGCUCAUGUGAGCUAAAUCGAGCUGGGAAAAACUAAGAUUGAGCUUGUUGAGUUGAGAUUGAGCUUCAUCUUGCACUUGGGGCCCUCGUGUUUAGGCCAAUCAUGAUAGCAACGAGUGGUGCCACAACAUGAUGCGAUUGAGAUCACAUCAUACCCUCCCUCUUGAAGACGAUUUGUCCUCAAAUCGAGCCAUUUUCUCAAAAAAAAUUUUACAUCGUCACCAGCCCCUUUGUCGAUGGAGUUGACAUAGUUGCUCCCAAAAACCUGCAAAUCAGACAUGCCUUGAGUAGGACACAAUUUAUGUUUAUACCCUCCCUCUUUAGGAGGGAACCACUUCGAAGUGUCACCUACACAAAAAUUAAAUAGAUUAGUGACACCAUGGUUUAUAAGUUCAAAAGGUCUUCUUAAGAUCUUAUGCAAAAAUUGCACCAAUGAACCAGUGCCGGGAUCAAAAAUAAAAACCGUUCUUACCUUUUUCUCCAAUGGACACAAACCUAAAUCACAAGUCAGUCGAAAAGCAUAAUCUCGAAAAUCAAAAUUGCAAAAUCCAAACCCUUUUAACAAGAACAAAGAAUAAUAAUCUCCGGGGUCAAAAACAAAGCUUCCUCUUGCUUGGCUUGACGUUAACUUAGGAAUGUAUAUCCCGGGUUUAAAAACGCGAUUUUCAUUGAUCGUUUCGCAAUGCAACAAAAAUUUCUUCUUCACCAAGACUUCACACAUGUCAAGCAAAUAGGAGUUAGGCAUACAUACAUUUGAGCAAUCAAACCCUUCAUAUUUCAUUCGCACACGUAAACAAGAAAAGUUCACACCACAAUUUAGAUAAUUCACAUGAUCAUCACAAGCACACAGAUUAGAUGUCAACUUUUCAUCACACAAUCCCAAAUUUUGUUUGGGCUUACCUGGACUUACUUCUUGAUCAAUCUUGACAAUGAUAGGCUCAUGAGCAGAAAGAUAUUUCACAUUACUAUGUAAAACACAUUUAUCAACAAUCAAAUUAUGAUUUCCAAUCAGAUCAAGAUGAAAAACUUUCUCACAAACUAAGUCUUUGCUAAUCUCGUCAUCAAGAAUCAAGUAAGAUUGGGAAGACUCAAAUACAGUAGAUCCCUUACAUGGCUUACCUUUAAGCACUUGUGGACUAGGGUCAUCUACGAUCUUACCUUUCUCGACUAAUCGAAAUCGUUUCUCCUUAGAAAAAUAUUGAAGUUGAAAUUGAUCGAUGGGAUUUUGAGAAACCUGAAAAGUAGAAACAAAACAAGGAAAAUUCAUAGGAUGGUUAGUAACAACACUCCUUUCUUCUUCACUCUCGUUUCUUCCUUCAAUCUCACUCUCUUUUUCGGUUUCCUUUUCUUUUUCGCACUCGUUUUUAUUUUCAAUCUCAUUUUCAAUUUUCUUUUCUAUCUCACACUCAUCUUCUUUUUCUUUCAUUUCUUUUUCUUUUUCAUUUUCUCGCUCACACUCUUUUUCUUUUUCACAUGAUGUUUCGAUUUCAUUACAAAAGUAUAAAUCAUCAAAAAGAGAAACCUUUUGUUGAGAAUAAGAAAAGGGUUCUUCACACAAAUGGCAAUCUUCUCUUUGUGAUAGAUCUUCCGUAGCCGAGUACUUUGACACUCUUGAAGCACGUUCGCCUCUUCGUAAAUAAUCCUUUGUAGAUGAAUAAAUUGAGGCACUUGUAGAGACACGUUUACUUUUUCGUUUAUCAUCUCGGAAGGACUCAAACUCGGAGUUUGCUACUCUUGGUCUCGUACGCCUUGUUGAAUAAACGUCUUGAUAAGAGUUUCUUGUCGAGUAGCGUCGUCGGGAUGAUCUUAACUCCGUCUCAUGACUCGAUGAAAUUUGCUUUUGUUGGGCUCUUGUCUCUAUUCGAUCCAAUCUAUCAUGCAAUUUAUCAAAAUUUGAUUUCACAAUUCUACGUAUCUCUUGCUUCAAAUAUUGGAAAUCUGAUUCGGAAAAUUCUUGUGACAUGUUUUUUUUUAAAAAAAAUGAUUAAAAUAAAAUAGAAAGUAAAUACCUCACCACAAAAAUCUCACGUUUCACUUCACAAUGAAAAUUGGAUAACACUCCACUCGUGUUUACACUCUUUAAUGGCUUUUUCUUUGAUGUAAAACACACGUGCCUUUUACCUCUCGACCUCGUCUCACAAUUUCGUAAUUCGUCUCGAUAGACUUAAUUUGCUACUUGAGGGUCGGUUUCAAAAUAGGUUACAAAGGAAUGAUGUGGGUGUAGGGUAGGCUAAACAAAAUAAAAUCAAGGCUAAGUGUGGCGUUGGGAUGGGUAAAUAAUGGUAGGAAGGGAAACUUGAUGAUCGGAGCAAAUAAGAGAGAGAAAAAAAAAUAAAAAUAAAAACUCGCAAGACUUUUCACUUUUUUUAACUUGAUUUUUUUUUCAAUCAAUUUUUUUUUUCGAAUUUUUUUUUGAUUUUUUUUUGUUACUCCAAUACAAUAGUAAGCUAAAUACAAGGGAAAAAAAAAAUUUUAAUUACAACUCAAACUUUUUUUUUUUGAUUUUUUUUUCACGUUUCGAACCUACUUACGGCCUUAUUACGAAUGUCGGUGCUCCUCGUUUUGCAAGCUCUGAUACCAAAUGAUGUGAUCCGGCCCAGGUUAACCGAGUCAUUUCACAAAGUUGCCCGAUCGUCUACGAGGAGUAGUUGGAGUUGUCAAAAUUGGGUGAUUUAGGCUAAGGGUUGCGGAAGCUUUGAGAGGGUUUAGAUGAGUGGUUUGGUGUUGAUAAAUUCGGUUUAGAAUAGAAACAAGGUAGGUUAGAAAAAGGUAAUUGAUGGAGAUGGAAAAUAAAACUUAAACGUCAAGAAUGUUCAAUACUAAAAAAGUAUUGCCCCGAGUCUUAUAUUGCUUAAGGUGAAUUUUGAUGAAGGAUAGAAGCGGACCUUGACCCGUUACCUAUAUGGAGGUAAGAACCAAAGGUAUAGGAAGAUGGUUGAACGCCACACCGAUUCGGUGAUAAGUUCAAUGGAGUUCGGAUUGACACCACUAGCAAGCUAGAUAAGUCGCUUCGAGACUCGAACGAAAGAAGAGAGGAGGUAACCUCACAAGAACAAAAGUUCUAUUAAGUUUAAUUGAUCAAAUUCUGUAACCUUUUACAAUAAACAAAAUAAACUAUUUAUAGGCUCUCUAAUGCCUAUUAAAAUUCAGCUACUAAUGUGUUCACACAACAAUUAAAAAUGUUCACACUUCAAGCAUUAAAUCUCUGUUCAUGGAUAGUGUAAGUUCAUGCAUGGUUGAAUAAUCAUGUUUCUUCCCAAAACCCGUUCAUGCAUGCUUAACCAAUAAGAAAGCUUCCUUGUUCCAUGAAUGUGCAUCUUCAAUUCAUAUCCAACCCCUCUUGGACAAAUGCUAGGUGCAUGGGUCAUGUAUCUCUCUUAAUUAAAGCUUUAAUGAUGGGCUGGUUCAUGAAUGGAAGCAUGUACCUUCUAAAUUCGUUCUCCCCUUUGUACAUGCACAUUAUACAUUCAAUGUGAUGAAGACCUUGACCCGUUACCUAUAUGGAGGUAAGAACCAAAGGUAUAGGAAGAUGGUUGAACGCCACACCGAUUCGGUGAUAAGUUCAAUGGAGUUCGGAUUGACACCACUAGCAAGCUAGAUAAGUCGCUUCGAGACUCGAACGAAAGAAGAGAGGAGGUAACCUCACAAGAACAAAAGUUCUAUUAAGUUUAAUUGAUCAAAUUCUGUAACCUUUUACAAUAAACAAAAUAAACUAUUUAUAGGCUCUCUAAUGCCUAUUAAAAUUCAGCUACUAAUGUGUUCACACAACAAUUAAAAAUGUUCACACUUCAAGCAUUAAAUCUCUGUUCAUGGAUAGUGUAAGUUCAUGCAUGGUUGAAUAAUCAUGUUUCUUCCCAAAACCCGUUCAUGCAUGCUUAACCAAUAAGAAAGCUUCCUUGUUCCAUGAAUGUGCAUCUUCAAUUCAUAUCCAACCCCUCUUGGACAAAUGCUAGGUGCAUGGGUCAUGUAUCUCUCUUAAUUAAAGCUUUAAUGAUGGGCUGGUUCAUGAAUGGAAGCAUGUACCUUCUAAAUUCGUUCUCCCCUUUGUACAUGCACAUUAUACAUUCAAUGUGAUGAAUUAAGGUAAUAUUUCCUCCCUUUGGACGUUCAUGAAUCCACCCAUACAUGUAUAGGAGCUGAUUGGUCAAAUUGAGGUGUGAAUGGCUUAGAUGCUGCCUUGGGAAUACGAUCGGCCAAGCUUGUGCUUUAAAUUGCUGGACACCUUUUGGCCAAAUAGGUGCCUUGGGGAGCCAAAUGGAUAAGCCACCAUUCAUUGAAAGAGGCCUUACAUGCACCGUCC